rnacentral:rRNA from 1 species
UACGAAGGGGGCGAGCGUUGUUCGGAAUUACUGGGCGUAAAGGGCGCGUAGGCGGCGACUCAAGUUAGAUGUGAAAUCCCGGGGCUCAACCCCGGAACUGCAUUCGAUACUGCCUUGCUCGAGUACUGGAGAGGAGACUGGAAUUUACGGUGUAGCAGUGAAAUGCGUAGAUAUCGUAAGGAAGACCAGUGGCGAAGGCGAGUCUCUGGACAGUUACUGACACUGAGGCACGAAGGCCAGGGGAGCAAACGGG